rnacentral:rRNA from 1 species
UACAGAGGGUGCAAGCGUUAAUCGGAAUUACUGGGCGUAAAGCGUGCGUAGACGGUUGCGUAAGUCAGAUGUGAAAGCCCCGGGCUCAACCUGGGAAUUGCAUUUGAGACUGCGUAGCUAGGGUGCGGAAGAGGGAAGCGGAAUUUCCGGUGUAGCGGUGAAAUGCGUAGAUAUUCGCAAGAACACCAGUGGCGAAGGCGGCUCACUGGCCCGGUACUGACGCUGAGGUGCGAAAGCGUGGGGAGCAAACAGG